rnacentral:snoRNA from 1 species
UUCUGUGAUGAUUGUAUUUCGACCUUUACCACAUUCUGAAUCAUCUUGUGGAUAACAAUUCUACAUUAGUUUCAGCCUUGUCUGAUC